UUGGGAGAUGUAUAGUCCUCUUAUGAGGCUAGUUAUCUUUACAAAGUAUAAUGCCCUCCUAAGGUUAGAAAGUAAAGAUAAUACCAACUACGUUGGCUAAAGUUCUAGAUAGAAGACUGAUAAUGACAAUUUUUUAUCUACAUGUCUUGACCAAAUUACGUGCCAGCUGUCGCGGUAAUACGUAGAAGACUAGUGUUAUUCAUCUUUAAUAGGUUUAAAGGGUACCUAGACGGCAUUAUUAACCUUAAAUAGGGAAAUGUUUUUUGCUAGAGUUUUAUAUGAGAAGGGGAGAAUUUAUAGAGUAGAGAUAAAAUGCUGUCAUACUAUAAGGACUGGCAAUGGCGAAAGCGACCUUUUAUCUAAAAACUGACGUUGAGGGACGGAGGCUUGGAGAGCGAACAGGAUUAGAUACCCUAGUAGUCCAUGCAGAGAAUGAUGAAUGCCAUAGACUAGAUAUUAAUUUGGUUUAUAAAUGAAAGUGUAAGCAUUCCACCUCACGAGUAAUGUGGCAACGCAGGAACUGAAAUCAUUAGACCGUUUCUGAGAACAGUAGUGAAGUAUGUUAUUUAAUUCGAUAACCCACGAAAAACCUUACCACAACUUGAAUAAUAUCAUUCGUUGAUUAAGGAGCCUAGAUUUCUUAAAAAGAAAUGUUGAAAUACAUUUAAUAAAUGUAGCAAUACAUUUAUUACAGUGAUGUUACAUGCGUUGCACGGUUGUCUUUAGCUAAUGUCGUGAGAUUUUGGUUAGUUCCAUAAAAUUAGCGUAAACCCCGGCUUUAUUUUUAAAUUAAAAAUUAUAAUUAAGAUUAAUUAUAAUUAUUGUGAUAAAGCAGUUCAUCACUAUAUUGAAUAUAUGAUAA
rnacentral:rRNA from 1 species